rnacentral:rRNA from 1 species
CUUGUUUCCUCCGGAGUGGAUCCUGAGUACGGCGGAACACGUGUAAUUCCGUCGGAAUCUGGGAGGACCAUCUCCCAAGGCUAAAUACUCCCUAGUGACCGAUAGUGAACCAGUACCGUGAGGGAAAGGUGAAAAGCACCCCGGAAGGGGAGUGAAAGAGAACCUGAAACCGUGUGCUUACAAGUAGUUGGAGCCCCAUGCAUAUUUUCCUUUGGAAAAAUGCUGGGUGACAGCGUGCCUUUUGUAGAAUGAACCGGCGAGUUACGAUCCCAUGCAAGGUUAAACAGAUGAUGUGGAGCCGCAGCGAAAGCGAGUCUGAACAGGGCGUUUUUUAGUAUGUGGUCGUAGACCCGAAACCGUGUGACCUACCCAUGUCCAGGGUGAAGGUAAGGUAACACUUACUGGAGGCCCGAACCCACGUACGUUGAAAAGUGCGGGGAUGAGGUGUGGGUAGCGGUGAAAUGCCAAUCGAACACGGAGAUAGCUGGUUCUCUCCGAAAUAGCUUUAGGGCUAGCCUCA